AUUGAACGCUGGCGGCAUGCCUUACACAUGCAAGUCGAACGGUAGAGGGGGCAACCCCUCGAGAGUGGCGAACGGGUGAGUAAUGCAUCGGAACGUGCCCAGUAGUGGGGGAUAGCCCGGCGAAAGCCGGAUUAAUACCGCAUGAGACCUACGGGUGAAAGGGGGGGAUCGCAAGACCUCUCGCUAUUGGAGCGGCCGAUGUCAGAUUAGGUGGUUGGUGGGGUAAAGGCCUACCAAGCCGACGAGCUGUAGCCGGUCUGAGAGGACGACCAGCCACACUGGGCCUGGGACACGGCCCAGACUCCUACGGGAGGAAGCAGUGGGGAAUUGUGGACAAGGGGCGAAAGCCUGAUCCAGCCAUGCCGCGUGCGGGAAGAAGGCCUUCGGGUUGUAAACCGCUUUUGUCAGGGAAGAAAUCCUUUGAGCUAAUACCUCGGGGGGAUGACGGUACCUGAAGAAUAAGCACCGGCUAACUACGUGCCAGCCGCCGCCGUAA
rnacentral:rRNA from 1 species